GGUUAAGCGACUAAGCGUACACGGUGGAUGCCCUGGCAGUCAGAGGCGAUGAAGGACGUGCUAAUCUGCGAUAAGCGUCGGUAAGGUGAUAUGAACCGUUAUAACCGGCGAUUUCCGAAUGGGGAAACCCAGUGUGAUUCGACACACUAUCAUUAACUGAAUCCAUAGGUUAAUGAGGCGAACCGGGGGAACUGAAACAUCUAAGUACCCCGAGGAAAAGAAAUCAACCGAGAUUCCCCCAGUAGCGGCGAGCGAACGGGGAGGAGCCCAGAGCCUGAAUCAGUGUGUGUGUUAGUGGAAGCGUCUGGAAAGGCGCGCGAUACAGGGUGACAGCCCCGUACACAAAAAUGCACAUGCUGUGAGCUCGAUGAGUAGGGCGGGACACGUGGUAUCCUGUCUGAAUAUGGGGGGACCAUCCUCCAAGGCUAAAUACUCCUGACUGACCGAUAGUGAACCAGUACCGUGAGGGAAAGGCGAAAAGAACCCCGGCGAGGGGAGUGAAAAAGAACCUGAAACCGUGUACGUACAAGCAGUGGGAGCCUCUUAAUGGGGUGACUGCGUACCUUUUGUAUAAUGGGUCAGCGACUUAUAUUCUGUAGCAAGGUUAACCGAAUAGGGGAGCCGAAGGGAAACCGAGUCUUAACUGGGCGUUAAGUUGCAGGGUAUAGACCCGAAACCCGGUGAUCUAGCCAUGGGCAGGUUGAAGGUUGGGUAACACUAACUGGAGGACCGAACCGACUAAUGUUGAAAAAUUAGCGGAUGACUUGUGGCUGGGGGUGAAAGGCCAAUCAAACCGGGAGAUAGCUGGUUCUCCCCGAAAGCUAUUUAGGUAGCGCCUCGUGAAUUCAUCUCCGGGGGUAGAGCACUGUUUCGGCAAGGGGGUCAUCCCGACUUACCAACCCGAUGCAAACUGCGAAUACCGGAGAAUGUUAUCACGGGAGACACACGGCGGGUGCUAACGUCCGUCGUGAAGAGGGAAACAACCCAGACCGCCAGCUAAGGUCCCAAAGUCAUGGUUAAGUGGGAAACGAUGUGGGAAGGCCCAGACAGCCAGGAUGUUGGCUUAGAAGCAGCCAUCAUUUAAAGAAAGCGUAAUAGCUCACUGGUCGAGUCGGCCUGCGCGGAAGAUGUAACGGGGCUAAACCAUGCACCGAAGCUGCGGCAGCGACACUAUGUGUUGUUGGGUAGGGGAGCGUUCUGUAAGCCUGUGAAGGUGGCCUGUGAGGGUUGCUGGAGGUAUCAGAAGUGCGAAUGCUGACAUAAGUAACGAUAAAGCGGGUGAAAAGCCCGCUCGCCGGAAGACCAAGGGUUCCUGUCCAACGUUAAUCGGGGCAGGGUGAGUCGACCCCUAAGGCGAGGCCGAAAGGCGUAGUCGAUGGGAAACAGGUUAAUAUUCCUGUACUUGGUGUUACUGCGAAGGGGGGACGGAGAAGGCUAUGUUGGCCGGGCGACGGUUGUCCCGGUUUAAGCGUGUAGGCUGGUUUUCCAGGCAAAUCCGGAAAACCAAGGCUGAGGCGUGAUGACGAGGCACUACGGUGCUGAAGUGACAAAUGCCCUGCUUCCAGGAAAAGCCUCUAAGCAUCAGGUAACAUCAAAUCGUACCCCAAACCGACACAGGUGGUCAGGUAGAGAAUACCAAGGCGCUUGAGAGAACUCGGGUGAAGGAACUAGGCAAAAUGGUGCCGUAACUUCGGGAGAAGGCACGCUGAUAUGUAGGUGAAGCGACUUGCUCGUGGAGCUGAAAUCAGUCGAAGAUACCAGCUGGCUGCAACUGUUUAUUAAAAACACAGCACUGUGCAAACACGAAAGUGGACGUAUACGGUGUGACGCCUGCCCGGUGCCGGAAGGUUAAUUGAUGGGGUUAGCGGUAACGCGAAGCUCUUGAUCGAAGCCCCGGUAAACGGCGGCCGUAACUAUAACGGUCCUAAGGUAGCGAAAUUCCUUGUCGGGUAAGUUCCGACCUGCACGAAUGGCGUAAUGAUGGCCAGGCUGUCUCCACCCGAGACUCAGUGAAAUUGAACUCGCUGUGAAGAUGCAGUGUACCCGCGGCAAGACGGAAAGACCCCGUGAACCUUUACUAUAGCUUGACACUGAACAUUGAGCCUUGAUGUGUAGGAUAGGUGGGAGGCUUUGAAGUGUGGACGCCAGUCUGCAUGGAGCCGACCUUGAAAUACCACCCUUUAAUGUUUGAUGUUCUAACGUUGGCCCCUAAUCGGGGUUGCGGACAGUGUCUGGUGGGUAGUUUGACUGGGGCGGUCUCCUCCUAAAGAGUAACGGAGGAGCACGAAGGUUGGCUAAUCCUGGUCGGACAUCAGGAGGUUAGUGCAAUGGCAUAAGCCAGCUUGACUGCGAGCGUGACGGCGCGAGCAGGUGCGAAAGCAGGUCAUAGUGAUCCGGUGGUUCUGAAUGGAAGGGCCAUCGCUCAACGGAUAAAAGGUACUCCGGGGAUAACAGGCUGAUACCGCCCAAGAGUUCAUAUCGACGGCGGUGUUUGGCACCUCGAUGUCGGCUCAUCACAUCCUGGGGCUGAAGUAGGUCCCAAGGGUAUGGCUGUUCGCCAUUUAAAGUGGUACGCGAGCUGGGUUUAGAACGUCGUGAGACAGUUCGGUCCCUAUCUGCCGUGGGCGCUGGAGAACUGAGGGGGGCUGCUCCUAGUACGAGAGGACCGGAGUGGACGCAUCACUGGUGUUCGGGUUGUCAUGCCAAUGGCACUGCCCGGUAGCUAAAUGCGGAAGAGAUAAGUGCUGAAAGCAUCUAAGCACGAAACUUGCCCCGAGAUGAGUUCUCCCUGAGACUUAGAGUCUCCUGAAGGAACGUUGAAGACGACGACGUUGAUAGGCCGGGUGUGUAAGCGCAGCGAUGCGUUGAGCUAACCGGUACUAAUGAACCGUGAGGCUUAACCUU
rnacentral:rRNA from 1 species